UACGAAGGGGGCUAGCGUUGCUCGGAAUCACUGGGCGUAAAGCGCACGUAGGCGGCUUUCUAAGUCAGGGGUGAAAUCCUGGAGCUCAACUCCAGAACUGCCUUUGAUACUGGAGUGCUUGAGUCCGGGAGAGGUGAGUGGAACUCCGAGUGUAGAGGUGAAAUUCGUAGAUAUUCGGAAGAACACCAGUGGCGAAGGCGGCUCACUGGCCCGGUACUGACGCUGAGGUGCGAAAGCGUGGGGAGCAAACAGGG
rnacentral:rRNA from 1 species